CCUUUCUGCUUUGUCAUCCGGAUCCAGUUCCACGCUUCACCUUUGGUUUUGAAGACUGGGAGACUUAAAGGAAUCUUUGACUUUGGGUACUCUCUACAGACUUGGCUCAUAGUCAGCUUCAGGCUCCUCCUGUGUAUAGUACCUCUGAGCACAAUACAUUGUCCCUUUUAGUUUCAGCUCCCAAGAGCCAAACUUGCCAUUAGCAUCCAGGCAGGGCCCACUUGGUUCCUCACUGAGGAGUGUUAGGCAACUACGGAGCUGGUAGGUUUGUCUUUUUGUUCCAGGUACAGAGUUGUUUAUCUGUCUAGAAAAGGCCAGGCAUUGGUCUUUUUGACGUGAAAAAAGUUCAAGCCAGAAAACGGGCAAGCUGCUGUGAGCAUGUAACAUCUGUGAUGUCACAAACGUCUGUUUACAGACAGAGAAUGUGGACUCAUUUUCUAAGCCCUUGAAGUGUCUAGGACAGCAGGCUGCAUGGCAAAGCAGGGAGAUACAUCUGCUGAAUUGAAUUCAGUAUACUCAAAAUUCAGAUAUUCCAUUUUGCCAAGAGAUGGCGGAUGUGAGCAUAUCUCUUCAGUUCAGACCAUAUUUACAUCGUUUAGCUAUGACAUGGGCCUGGAGUUUUCUCUGCUCAAUUCAGGCAUAACAAUCAGCUAGAUUGAAACUCAUUGUUUGCAUGCCAUUCAGAGAGGAUAAGUAGUUAAGAAGACCCUACACUGACAUCUGUCAAGGGUAUGCCAUUUCACCAUGUGACACAUAGAGUAAGCCCAUGGCAGUUUGAAAGGCAGAUGCAAUGUUCUCUGCUCUGCGAUCCCUGCUGUCAAGAGUCUGCUGUGGCAUUUUGAUGAGUGAAAAAGAGAAGAUGCUAUUUUGCUGCACUUAUUCACAUACACCGUGCAUCGCCAGCUUCCAGCACUGGAAAACUGCAGGCUCUUCCUCAAACCCACUACAGCAUAAUCCCCUGAUAGGCGUGGAACAGAGCUAAAAAUUUGUCAAUCUGAAAGGUAUAUUUUUAAAAAAUCAUG
rnacentral:lncRNA from 1 species